GUGCUCGUUUCAGCAGCACAUAUACUAAAAUUGGAACUAUAAAGACAUUAGUAUGACCCUUGCACAAGGAUGACACACAAAUUCAUGAAGCAUUCCAUAUUUUU